rnacentral:rRNA from 1 species
AUAUCAAUAAGCGGAGGAAAAGAAACCAACAGGGAUUGCCCUAGUAACGGCGAGUGAAGCGGCAACAGCUCAAAUUUGAAAUCUGGCUUCGGCCCGAGUUGUAAUUUGUAGAGGAUGCUUUUGGUGAGGUGCUUUCUGAGUUCCCUGGAACGGGACGCCACAGAGGGUGAGAGCCCCGUAUGUGGUGACACUGCUUAACGAGCUCCUUACCAAGAGUCGGGUUGUUUUGAAUUGCAGCCCUAAUCUAGGAGAUAGACUUCUUCUAAGGCUAAAUAUUAUGGGAGACCGAUAGCGCACAAGUA